rnacentral:misc_RNA from 1 species
GUCAGCUCAUGCUCGUGGUGGUGGACUUCAUAUUGUAGGACACAGGCUAUCAUGUUUUGCCGAGUCAUGCAAUGUGCCAUUUCAGUUCUAUGAUGCUGCUGUGUCUGGUUGUGAGGUUCAACUAGAACAACUUGGGUUGCAACCUGGGGAAGCUGUGGUGGUGAAUUUUCCAUAUGUAUUGCACCACAUGCCAGAUGAGAGCGUGAACACAUGGAAUCACAGAGACCGACUGUUAAGGCUGGUAAAGAGUUUGUCACCAAAGGUUGUGACGCUCAUUGAGCAAGAAUCUAACACUAAUACUAAGCCAUUCCUUCCAAGGUUCAAGGCAACACUAGAAUAUUAUACUGCCAUGUUUGAAUCAAUUGAUGCUGGUUCGUCGAGGGAUGACAAGCAGAGGAUAAAUGCAGAGCAACACUGUGUGGCUCGCGACAUUGUCAAUAUGAUUGCUUGUGAGGGAGCUGACAGGGUUGAACGACAUGAACUAUUUGGGAAGUGGAGGUCACGAUUUAUUAUGGCUGGAUUUACUCAAUACCCUUUAACUUCCACGGUGACUGGUGCUGUAAGAGAUUUAUUGAGAGAAUAUGACAGGAA